GAUGAACGCUGGCGGCGCGCCUAACACAUGCAAGUCGAACGGUGAAGUCCCUUCGGGGGACGGAUCAGUGGCGGACGGGUGAGUAACGCGUGAGUAACCUGCCCUUAUGAGUGGAAUAACGUCUGGAAACGGACGCUAAUAACCGGCAUAAAUGCAUCGGGAAGACAUCUUCCUGAUGCCAAAGNUUUAUCGCAUAAGGAUGGACUCGCGUCUGAUUAGAUAGUUGGUGGGGUAACGGCCGUACCAAGUCGACGAUCAGUAGCCGGACUGAGAGGUUGAACGGCCACAUUGGAACUGAGAAAC
rnacentral:rRNA from 1 species